UACGUAGGGAGCAAGCGUUGUCCGGAAUCAUUGGGCGUAAAGCGCGCGUAGCUGGCUCUAUAAGUCCGUUGUGAAAGUCAAAGGCUCAACCUUUGAAAGCCGAUGGAUACUGUGGAGCUAGAGUACGGAAGAGGCGAGUGGAAUUCCUGGUGUAGCGGUGGAAUGCGCAGAUAUCAGGAGGAACACCAAUAGCGAAGGCAGCUCGCUGGGACGUUACUGACACUGAGGCGCGAAAGCGUGGGGAGCGAACAGG
rnacentral:rRNA from 1 species